UACGUAGGGUGCAAGCGUUAAUCGGAAUUACUGGGCGUAAAGCGUGCGCAGGCGGUGAUGUAAGACAGAUGUGAAAUCCCCGGGCUCAACCUGGGAACUGCAUUUGUGACUGCAUGGCUAGAGUUUGUCAGAGGGGGGGUGGAAUUCCACGUGUAGCAGUGAAAUGCGUAGAUAUGUGGAGGAACACCGAUGGCGAAGGCAGCCCCCUGGGAUGUGACUGACGCUCAUGUACGAAAGCGUGGGGAGCAAACAGG
rnacentral:rRNA from 1 species